AUACUAACCUGGCAGGGGAGAUACCAUGAUCACAAAGGUGGUUCUCUUAGGGCAAGGCUCAGCCAUUGCACUCCGGCUGUGCUGAAAAUGUAAAAUAAAAAAUGUGCGUGACCGGCAGGCCGCAAUGUCCGCCGGCCACCCGCGAUCGCCAGGGCCGC